UCUGGUUGAUCCUGCCUGAACUGAUGUGUUUAUUUCAAAGAUUAAGCCAUGCAUGUAUAAGUUUAAUCGUUUAUCGAGAAACCGCGAACGGCUCAUUACAAUGGCCAUUAUUUACUUGAUCUUGAUUGUCUAAAUGGAUAACUGUGGAAAAGCUAGAGCUAAUACAUGCACUAAAGCUUUGUCCUUACGGAAAAGCGCAUUUAUUAGAACAAAACCACGCGGCUUCGGCUGCUUCUUGUUGACUCAGAAUAACUUAGCUGACCGCAUGGCCUUGUGCCGGCGGCGUGUCUUUCAAGCGUCCACUUUAUCAACUUGACGGGAGCAUAAUCGACUCCCGUGGUGGUGACGGAUAACGGAGGAUCAGGGUUCGACUCCGGAGAAGGGGCCUGAGAAAUGGCCACUACGUCUAAGGAUGGCAGCAGGCGCGCAAAUUACCCACUCUCGGCUCGAGGAGGUAGUGACGAGAAAUAACGAGACUGUUCUCUUUGAGGCCGGUCAUCGGAAUGGGUACAAUUUAAACCCUUUAACGAGUAUCAAGCAGAGGGCAAGUCUGGUGCCAGCAGCCGCGGUAAUUCCAGCUCUGCAAAUACAUAGAAUUAUUGCUGCGGUUAGAAAGCUCAUAGUUGGAUUCGUAUCGAUACCUUGGAACCCUUCGGGUGUCUCUAGGUGUUAUCGAUUUAUCGUAAUGUUCGGUUUUGAGUCCUUAACAGGAUUCUUAACAGGCAUUGCAAGUUUACUUUGAACAAAUCAGAGUGCUUCAAACAGGCGUUUUCGCUUGAAUGAUCGUGCAUGGAAUAAUAGAAAAUGAUUUCGGUUCAGUUUUAUUGGUUUUACGGACUGAGAUAAUGGUUAACAGAGACAAACGGGGCAUUUGUAUGGUCCCGUGAGAGGUGAAAUUCUUGGACCGUGGCCAGACAAACUACAGCGAAAGCAUUUGCCAAGAAUGUUUUUAUUAAUCAAGAACGAAAGUCAGAGGUUCGAAGGCGAUCAGAUACCGCCCUAGUUCUGACCGUAAACGAUGCCAACUAGCGAUCCGCCGAUGGAAAUUAUAUUGCCUUGGUGGGGAGCUUCCCGGAAACGAAAGUCUUCCGGUUCCGGGGGAAGUAUGGUUGCAAAGCUGAAACUUAAAGGAAUUGACGGAAGGGCACCACCAGGAGUGGAGCCUGCGGCUUAAUUUGACUCAACACGGGGAAACUCACCCGGCCCGGACACUGUGAGGAUUGACAGAUUGAUAGCUUUUUCAUGAUUCAGUGGAUGGUGGUGCAUGGCCGUUCUUAGUUCGUGGAGUGAUUUGUCUGGUUUAUUCCGAUAACGAGCGAGACUCUAACCUACUAAAUAGUUGGUACAUACUCUUAGUGUAUACAGCUUCUUAGAGGGAUUUGCGGCGUUCAGCCGAAAGAAAUUGAGCAAUAACAGGUCUGUGAUGCCCUUAGAUGUCCGGGGCUGCACGCGCGCUACACUGGCAAAAUCAACGUGCUUGUCCUACCCUGAAAGGGGCGGGUAAACCAUUGAAAAUUUGCCGUGAUUGGGAUCGGAAAUUGCAAUUAUUUUCCGUGAACGAGGAAUUCCAAGUAAGUGCGAGUCAUCAGCUCGCGUUGAUUACGUCCCUGCCCUUUGUACACACCGCCCGUCGCUGCCCGGGACUGAGCCAUUUCGAGAAAUUUGGGGACCGUUGAUUUAAUUUUUCUAAAUUACUUUGAUGGAAACCAAUUUAAUCGCAGUGGCUUGAACCGGGCAAAAGUCGUAACAAGGUAGCUGUAGGUGAACCUGCUGCUG
rnacentral:rRNA from 1 species